rnacentral:rRNA from 1 species
UACAGAGGGUGCGAGCGUUAAUCGGAUUUACUGGGCGUAAAGCGUGCGUAGGCGGCUUUUUAAGUCGGGUGUGAAAUCCCUGAGCUUAACUUAGUAAUUGCAUUCGAUACUGGGAAGCUAGAGUAUGGGAGAGGAUGGUAGAAUUCCAGGUGUAGCGGUGAAAUGCGUAGAGAUCUGGAGGAAUACCGAUGGCGAAGGCAGCCAUCUGGCCUAAUACUGACGCUGAGGUACGAAAGCAUGGGGAGCAAACAGGAUUAGA